rnacentral:rRNA from 1 species
AUUGAACGCUGGCGGCAGGCCUAACACAUGCAAGUCGAGCGGUUGACGGGAGCUUGCUCCCUGAUUCAGCGGCGGACGGGUGAGUAAUGCCUAGGAAUCUGCCUAUUAGUGGGGGACAACGUUUCGAAAGGAACGCUAAUACCGCAUACGUCCUACGGGAGAAAGCAGGGGACCUUCGGGCCUUGCGCUAAUAGAUGAGCCUAGGUCGGAUUAGCUUGUUGGUGAGGUAAUGGCUCACCAAGGCGACGAUCCGUAACUGGUCUGAGAGGAUGAUCAGUCACACUGGAACUGAGACACGGUCCAGACUCCUACGGGAGGCAGCAGUGGGGAAUAUUGGACAAUGGGCGAAAGCCUGAUCCAGCCAUGCCGCGUGUGUGAAGAAGGUCUUCGGAUUGUAAAGCACUUUAAGUUGGGAGGAAGGGUUGUAGAUUAAUACUCUGCAAUUUUGACGUUACCGACAGAAUAAGCACCGGCUAACUCUGUGCCAGCAGCCGCCGUAAAAC